AAUGAAGAUUAGAGUCUUAUGGUGGGACUUCCAGAUCUUCAUAGCCAGCAAAGCUUGUUCUGUGUUACAGUUCCGUGCUUCCGUGUCGUGUCCGACACGUGUCGGAGCGUGUCGGACACGUCGACACGCUCGGACACGUUCGGACACGCGUUGACCGCGUGUCCGACUUUUCGACACGCGGUCAACAUUUCUCGACACGCGUCGACACGCGUGUCCGGAAGCCUGACGGAGGGUGGAGGCCAGGGAGGGCGAGGGAGAAGAGGCCGCGAGCGACGGCGAGAGACGGCUAGAGAAAGAGCCGAACAGAGAGAAAGUAAACUCCCGCCGGCGAGACGAAGCCACGCAACGGACCACUGCGACGGCGAGAGAGAGAGCAGCCGCCACUGUUGCGAUGGAUCGGCGACGAGGAGGAGGAGGAGGAGGAGAAGGAUCAAGAGGAAGGGCGUCGUGCGGAGAGGAAGGUGGUCGUGCGGCGAGGAGGAGGAGAAAGAUCGAGAGGAAGAGGAGAGGAAGGGGGUCGUGCGGCGGGCGGUGUGCGGCGAGCGGCGAGCAGUGAGAAGGAGGAGGAAAAGUUUGCUAGGGUUUUUAUGAGGGAAUAAAAAGUAAAUAAAAAAAAGGGGGGGACGAUGGAGGGAAAUGGACGAAGGAAGUGGCGUGGCUUUUGAGUUUUGGGGGAGGGGAAGUGACAGGUUGACAACCUGUCUGUCAUUGGUGGGGGAGGGAAAAAAUGUAAAAUAAAUUUUGGGUGGAGGGAAAUGGACGGAGGAAAAGAGGGUGGAUUUUGGGGAUUUGUUUUUUUUAAUGGGAAAAUCAAAUAAAUGAGAUUAACAAAUAAUUUCGAAAAAUAAAAGUACUAAACUUUGAAUAAUGAUAAAUUUUGAUUAUUAUAGAAAAUUAUGGAUUUAUUUAAAUAAAUUGAUUCUAAUUUUUUAUUAAUUAUUAGUUUCAUCAAUAAUUUUUGUUAAAGGUAAAAACAUGUUUCGCAUUAACUAUAAAUAUAUUUUUCGAAUUUUUAAUGAAUUGAUUUAUUAAUAUUAUUAGUGUAUUUAUUAUAGGCUCUUUUUUAAUUAAUUAAUUAAAAAUAAAAAUAUUCAUUAACGUGUCGAAAUUCUUUAUUUUUUAAAAAUGACGUGUCGACGUGUCGUGUCGUGUCGGACACUCGUGUCGUGUCCCGUGUCGGUGCUACAUAGGUUACAGCACCAUAAAGGGCUAAUAGGAUUGCCAAAUUUGGAGAAAAAUCUCUUUUUGGACUGUUUUAAGAAUAGACAUUAUUUCAACAGUCCAAAUGUUCAGAAGAAUACUACCUCUUGGAGCUGCUCGUUUACUAGAGAAGAC
rnacentral:lncRNA from 1 species